AACGCUAGCUACAGGCUUAACACAUGCAAGUCGAGGGGUAGCAGGGUAGCAAUGCCGCUGACGACCGGCGCACGGGUGAGUAACACGUAUCCAACCUUCCCAUAACUCGGGGAUAGCCUUUCGAAAGAAAGAUUAAUACCCGAUAGUACUUUUUUAGGGCAUCUUAAGAAAGUUAAAGAUUUAUUGGUUAUGGAUGGGGAUGCGUUCCAUUAGAUAGUUGGUGAGGUAACGGCUCACCAAGUCUUCGAUGGAUAGGGGUUCUGAGAGGAAGGUCCCCCACAUUGGUACUGAGACACGGACCAAACUCCUACGGGAGGCAGCAGUGAGGAAUAUUGGUCAAUGGGCGAGAGCCUGAACCAGCCAAGUAGCGUGAAGGAUGAAGGUCCUAUGGAUUGUAAACUUCUUUUAUAGUAGAAUAAAGUGAUCCACGUGUGGAUUUUUGUAUGUAUACUAUGAAUAAGGAUCGGCUAACUCCGUGCCAGCAGCCGCGGUAAUACGGAGGAUCCGAGCGUUAUCCGGAUUUAUUGGGUUUAAAGGGUGCGUAGGCGGAAUAAUAAGUCAGUUGUGAAAGUUUGCGGCUCAACCGUAAAAUUGCAGUUGAUACUGUUAUUCUUGAGUGUACAUAAGGUAGGCGGAAUUCGUGGUGUAGCGGUGAAAUGCUUAGAUAUCACGAAGAACUCCGAUUG
rnacentral:rRNA from 1 species